GAGCCACCGCGCCCAGCAGAAUUUUGGUUUAUUAUACAUGCAGAAAUACCCUUUUGAUGUGGAAUUGUGUUCAGCAAGCCAUAUUGUUUGUGCUACAAGAAUCCAAUUCUGCAGGCUGAGAAUUCCAAGAUCAAGACACCGGCAGAUUUAGUGUUCAGUGAAGACCACUCUCUGCUUUCAAGAUGGCACCUUGAUGCUGUGUCCUCACAUGAUGAAAGGGAAGAAAGGUUAAAGGCACGAAUAGCUCCCUCAAGCCUCUUUUAUAUGAUUAUUAAUCUCAUUUAUGAGGACUCUGCCCUUAUGACAUCCUAAAAGCCCCACCUCUUAAUACUUUAUAUCAGUGAUCAUGUUUCAAUUUAUGAAUUUUAUGGGGACAUAUUCAGACCGUAGCAAUAAGGGUUGGAGAAAUCAUUUAAAUUAAAUAAUAUAUAGAUUGAUAAAAGAAAUACCUUGAAUAUAUGAAUAUUUACUAUACAUUUAUCUUUAAGGCAUUCUCUUUUCU
rnacentral:lncRNA from 1 species